rnacentral:rRNA from 1 species
AGUUGCGAACGGGUGAGUAACGCGUAGGUAACCUGCCUCAUAGCGGGGGAUAACUAUUGGAAACGAUAGCUAAUACCGCAUAACAGUAUUUACCGCAUGGUAGAUACUUGAAAGGAGCAAUUGCUUCACUAUGAGAUGGACCUGCGUUGUAUUAGCUAGUUGGUGAGGUAACGGCUCACCAAGGCAUCGAUACAUAGCCGACCUGAGAGGGUGAUCGGCCACACUGGGUCUGAGACACGGCCCAGACUCCUACGGGAGGCAGCAGUAGGGAAUCUUCGGCAAUGGGGGCAACCCUGACCGAGCAACGCCGCGUGAGUGAAGAAGGUUUUCGGAUCGUAAAGCUCUGUUGUAAGAGAAGAACUGUGAGAAGAGUGGAAAGUUUCUCACUUGACGGUAUCUUACCAGAAAGGGACGGCUAACUACGUGCCAGCAGCCGCGGUAAUACGUAGGUCCCGAGCGUUGUCCGGAUUUAUUGGGCGUAAAGCGAGCGCAGGCGGUUUGAUAAGUCUGAAGUAAAAGGCUGUGGCUUAACCAUAGUACGCUUUGGAAACUGUCAAACUUGAGUGCAGAAGGGGAGAGUGGAAUUCCAUGUGUAGCGGUGAAAUGCGUAGAUAUAUGGAGGAACACCGGUGGCGAAAGCGGCUCUCUGGUCUGUAACUGACGCUGAGGCUCGAAAGCGUGGGGAGCGAACAGGAUUAGAUACCCUGGUAGUCCACGCCGUAAACGAUGAGUGCUAGGUGU